AUGGCGACCAGGUGCUUCUUCCCCAGGGACGCGGUGGCCGGACGGCACCAGUCCAAGGCGGCAGAGCAGGCCCUCGAGCAGCUGCACCACGGCGGCCGCGUCCUGUCCCGAGAGGAAGUGGGCGGCGCGGUGCGCGUCAAGAUCGUUGUCAGCAAGCGCGAGCUCAAGAAGAUGGUGGCCGCCCUCGGCACCGGCGGCGAGGUGGCGGCCGCAGCGGCGUCUGCUGAUCGCCGCAGCCGCCAGCGCGCGGCGGGCGGCGGCGGCAGCACGGACGCCGAGCAGAGGCUGCAGUCGCUCCGGCGGCGCAGCAUGCGCAGGGCGGCCGAGGAGACGAGGCGGAUGCAGGCGAGCGGGGAGUGGGAGCCCGGCCUCCAGAGCAUCCCCGAGGAGGUUUACUGA
rnacentral:rRNA from 1 species